rnacentral:rRNA from 1 species
UACAGAGGUCCCAAGCGUUGUUCGGAUUCACUGGGCGUAAAGGGCUCGUAGGUGGCCAACUAAGUCAGACGUGAAAUCCCUCAGCUUAACUGGGGAACUGCGUCUGAUACUGGAUGGCUUGAGAUUGGGAGAGGGAUGCGGAAUUCCAGGUGUAGCGGUGAAAUGCGUAGAUAUCUGGAGGAACACCGGUGGCGAAGGCGGCAUCCUGGACCAACACUGACACUGAGGAGCGAAAGCCAGGGGAGCAAACGGG